rnacentral:tRNA from 3 species
GCUGUUAUAGCUCAGUGGUAGAGCACUUCCUUGGUAAGGAAGAGGUCCCGAGUUCAACUCUCGGUAACAGCU